UACGGGGGGGGUAAGCGUUGUUCGGAAUUACUGGGCGUAAAGGGCUCGUAGGCGGCCAACUAAGUCAGACGUGAAAUCCCUCAGCUUAACUGGGGAACUGCGUCUGAUACUGGAUGGCUUGGAUUCGGGAGAGGAAUGCGGAAUUCCAGGUGUAGCGGUGAAAUGCGUAGAUAUCUGGAGGAACACCGGUGGCGAAGGCGGCAUUCUGGACCGACAUUGACGCUGAGGAACGAAAGCCAGGGGAGCAAACGGGG
rnacentral:rRNA from 1 species